CGGCGGACGGGUGAGUAAUGUCUGGGAAACUGCCUGAUGGAGGGGGAUAACUACUGGAAACGGUAGCUAAUACCGCAUAACGUCGCAAGACCAAAGAGGGGGACCUUCGGGCCUCUUGCCAUCAGAUGUGCCCAGAUGGGAUUAGCUAGUAGGUGGGGUAACGGCUCACCUAGGCGACGAUCCCUAGCUGGUCUGAGAGGAUGACCAGCCACACUGGAACUGAGACACGGUCCAG
rnacentral:rRNA from 1 species